GACGAGCCUCACAAACGUUAUUCGGAAUUACUGGGCUUAAAGGGUGCGUAGGCGGCGUAGAAAGUUGGGUGUGAAAUCCCUCGGCUCAACCGAGGAACUGCGCCCAAAACUAUUAUGCUCGAGGGAGAUAGAGGAAUGCGGAACUUAGGGUGGAGCGGUGAAAUGCGUUGAUAUCCUAGGGAACACCGGUGGCGAAAGCGGCAUUCUGGAUCUCUUCUGACGCUGAUGCACGAAAGCGUGGGGAUCAAACAGG
rnacentral:rRNA from 1 species